AGAGUUUGAUCCUGGCUCAGGACGAACGCUGGCGGCGUGCCUAACACAUGCAAGUCGAACGGGGUGAGGCCCUUCGGGACCUUUACCUAGUGGCGAACGGGUGAGUAACGCGUGAGGAACCUGCCUUUCAGUGGGGGACAACAGUUGGAAACGACUGCUAAUACCGCAUGAAGCUUUUGGGAGACAUCUCCUGGAAGCCAAAGCUUAAUGUGCUGAAAGAUGGCCUCGCGUCUGAUUAGCUAGUUGGUGGGGUAACGGCCCACCAAGGCGACGAUCAGUAGCCGGUCUGAGAGGAUGAACGGCCACAUUGGGACUGAGAUACGGCCCAGACUCCUACGGGAGGCAGCAGUGGGGAAUAUUGGGCAAUGGGCGAAAGCCUGACCCAGCAACGCCGCGUGAAGGAAGAAGGCCUUCGGGUUGUAAACUUCUUUUACCAGGGACGAAGGACGUGACGGUACCUGGAGAAAAAGCAACGGCUAACUACGUGCCAGCAGCCGCGGUAAUACGUAGGUUGCAAGCGUUGUCCGGAUUUACUGGGUGUAAAGGGCGUGUAGGCGGAGAUGCAAGUUAGGAGUGAAAUCUAUGGGCUCAACCCAUAAACUGCUUCUAAAACUGUAUCCCUUGAGUAUCGGAGAGGCAAGCGGAAUUCCUAGUGUAGCGGUGAAAUGCGUAGAUAUUAGGAGGAACACCAGUGGCGAAGGCGGCUUGCUGGACGACAACUGACGCUGAGGCGCGAAAGCGUGGGGAGCAAACAGGAUUAGAUACCCUGGUAGUCCACGCUGUAAACGAUGAAUACUAGGUGUGGGGGGACUGACCCCCCCCGUGCCGCAGUUAACACAAUAAGUAUUCCACCUGGGGAGUACGACCGCAACGGUGAAACUCAAAGGAAUUGACGGGGGCCCGCACAAGCGGAGGAACAUGUGGUUUAAUUCGAUGAUACGCGAGGAACCUUACCCGGGCUUGAAUUGCAGAGGAAGGAUUUGGAGACAAUGACGCCCUUCGGGGUCUCUGUGAAGGUGCUGCAUGGUUGUCGUCAGCUCGUGCCGUGAGGUGUCGGCUUAAGUGCCAUAACGAGCGCAACCCCUCUCCUUAGUUGCCAUCAGGUUAAGCUGGGCACUCUGGGGACACUGCCACCGUAAGGUGUGAGGAAGGUGGGGAUGACGUCAAAUCAGCACGGCCCUUACGUCCGGGGCUACACACGUGUUACAAUGGCAGGUACAGAGAGACGGUCCCUUGCAAAACGGAUCAAAUCCUUAAAGCCUGUCUCAGUUCGGACUGGGGUCUGCAACCCGACCCCACGAAGCUGGAUUCGCUAGUAAUCGCGCAUCAGCCAUGGCGCGGUGAAUACGUUCCCGGGCCUUGUACACACCGCCCGUCAAGCCAUGAAAGCCGGGGGCGCCUAAAGUCCGUGACCGUAAGGAGCGGCCUAGGGCGAAACUGGUAAUUGGGGCUAAGUCGUAACAAGGUA
rnacentral:rRNA from 1 species